rnacentral:ncRNA from 2 species
CGUUUCCUUGCUGGAGAGAGGCCACUGCACCCCGGUGCAACGAUGGCCCACCGAAGGAGCAAACCCCGAUCGUGGGGCGAAUCUCUCAGGUAAAGCGGACAGCAGGGGUGGC